GAUGAAGAACGCAGCGAAAUGCGAUAAGUAAUGUGAAUUGCAGAAUUCAGUGAAUCAUCGAAUCUUUGAACGCACCUUGCGCCCUUUGGACUUCUGAAGGGCAUGCCUGUUUGAGUAUCAUGAACACCUCAACUCCUUAUGGUCUUCCAUGAUGAGCUUGGACUUUGGGGGUUUUGCUGGCCUACAGUCAGCUCCUCUAAAAUAAAUCAGCUUACCGGUGUUUGGUGGGUAUCAUGGGUGUGAUAACUAUCUACGCUCGUGGUUUUCCACCAGGUAACCUUCAGCAGUGGAGGUUCACUGGAGCUCAUAGAUGUCUCUCCUCAGCGAGGACAGCCCUUUGAAUGUUUGAGCUCAAAUCAGGUAGGACUACCCGCUGAACUUAAGCAUAUCAAUAAGCGGAGGA
rnacentral:misc_RNA from 1 species